CUUGCAUCAUUGUAAAAAUGAUGCAGGAUCGACUAUGUCGAAUAAAAUUCUAGGUAGAAUUAUGAUAAUGACAUUGUCUGCCUAUGUGUCUUGACCAAAUUACGUGCCAGCAGUCGCGGUAAUACGUAGAAGACUAGUGUUAUUCAUGUUUAAUCGGUUUAAAGGGUACCUAGACGGUAAAUCAAGCCUAAAAUUAAAUGAAGGGACUAAUUUACUAGAGUUACUUAUGAGGGGGUAUUAAAGUACUGCUGGUGUAGAGAUGAAAUUCUGUCAUACCUCUUUUCAAUAGAAAAACAAUGGCACAGGUAUAGGCGAAAGCAUCCCCUUAUGUGAUAACUGACGUUGAGGGACGAAGGCUUUGUGUAGCGAACAGGAUUAGAUACCCCAGUAGUCAAAGCAGAAAAUGAUGAAUGUCAUAGAUUAGAUAAAUAAGUUUAUUCUAUAAAUGAAAGUGUAAGCAUUCCACCUCAAGAGUAAUUUGGCAACAUUGGAACUGAAAUCAUUAGACCGUUUCUGAAACCAGUAGUGAAGUAUGUUGUUUAAUUUGAUGAUCCGCAAAAAACCUUACCACAAUUUGAAUAUUUAUAUUUUUUUAUUGUUUUCUUUUUAAUUUUCUUCUGAUUUGAUUUUUCUAAAGAAAAAAAGAAAAAGAGGCGAUAUGAUAUAUUUACAAGCGUUGCACGGCUGUCUUCAGUUAAUGUCGCGAGACUUUGGUUAGUUCCAUUAAAUUAACGUAAACCCUUACUUUAUUUUUAUAUAGAGUAGUUCCCCGCUAUAUUGGAUAUGAUAACC
rnacentral:rRNA from 1 species